AGCUGGUCUGAGUGCAGUGGUAUUUACAAUUAAUUGAUCACAACCAAUUACAGAUUUCUUUUUUCCUUCUCCCCUCCCACCACUUUAUUUGACUAGCCUAAA
rnacentral:Y_RNA from 1 species